GAGGACAGGGAGCCUCCACACUGCCUCCCACGGAUGGCGGCGGGAGCUGUGAGUACAUGCGAUGCGUGACCAGUGGGGGAGGGGAAACCCGCCAGGCGUCCUCAGCUAUCGCCAUCGUCGUACAUAGCCGCGUAAUCGCAGCCAAUGCGUAUAAUCACAGACUGGGCGCUGCAACUCCCAUGAUGCUCUGCCACCCGGCAGGCGGUCCAUCGAUGGAGCCCUAUCUCCAGCCCGGUACGCUCCCUAUGACGCACAGCCAGCCGUGUGAAAGGUCCGCAGUGGCCUCGGGCGGGUUAUCUCGCUCCCGGGCUAUGUACUAAUCUGGG